GCUCUGCGCCCAGCCCAGCUAGUACUCAGUAUUGUGAUUCACAACCAAACAAAAUAGCUGCAUUGUUAUGGUUUAUAUGCCCCGCUUAGCAGAGAUUUAGUAAUUAUUUUAAACCAAUAGUAAACUUGUUCUUAGGUAUUUUACAAUUCACUAGCUCACCUCACAGAGCACCUGCGCACUAGUACUUGAUUGCUCCCCUCACCCCCUGCCACGGCCCCCCUCACCUCAGAGAUCUCUGCUCCCUCACCUGAGCCACACUCCUGCUCCUCCUCCAUCCCGUUGCUUCCAUCUCCCUCACCACUGUUCCCUCUACGGCGUGUGCAUGUACGCGCACUCACACAUUUUCUGAUGUCCGCUCAGUUCAUUUUAGAUCCCGUUCAGGUUGAAUCAGGAAGGCCCCACUCUGAAUGCAUGUGUGCACACACUGCCUUGAUACUGCCACCCAAAACAAAACUCAUUCCGCACACAAAUGAAAAAAAUUAGAGAGAACACUGCCCCUCACCCCCUCUUGGUCAGUCCUCCAUCCCUUUACUCCAUCCCCCUCACCCCUCUUGGUUGCAGCUGCAGCGUUGCUGGCACCUAUUGGCCAAGCUGCAGCCCAUUAUCACCAGAGAACUCCCCACCCUCACCCAAGCCCUGCUCCUCCUCCUCCGCACAGGAGCAGCGGCAGUGGUUGACUGGGCCCUUCCUCGCUGUCGCCACUGCCAUUGCUGCUCAUUCCCCUCAGGCCGCUUGUCCCCUAAGUUAAGCAAGGUCCGCCCUGGUUGCAUAUGAAUGGGAUGUGUGAUCACUGUAAGAUAUUCCCCUUAGGGGAUGGAAGCACUUUGGGAGGAGCAUCUAGGUUCCAAGUUCCCUCCCUAGCAUCUCCAAGAUAGGGCUGAGAGAGAUUCCUGCCUGCAAACUUGGAGAAGCUGCUGCCAAUCUGUGUAGACAAUACUGAGCUAGAUGGACCAAUGGUCUGAAUCAGUAUAUGGCAGUUUCCUAUGUCUCUUGCCUGCUUGCUUUCCUCCGCCAACAGACUCGGUAGCUCCAAACAACAACAGUGGUUGACUGGGCCUUUCCUUGCUGCUGUCGCCGCCAUGGCUACUCAUUCUCCUCAGGCCACUGACAGGCUCAGGCCUAUCCCUCGACCUUCCUUCUUUCUCUCUUCCCCUCCCUUCUUUCUAGAUCCUUCUCUCUCCUCCUCUGUCUUUCUGCCCCCCCUCCAUCCCUCCCUCCUUUUUCUUUCUCUCUCUCUCUCUUUCUCUAUAUCUCUCCCUUCCCAAGUUAACAGAUCUUGUUCUUCUUGUUUCAUCAUCUAAUCCACGCCAACGGCAGCCUCCUUCUCCUGAAGGGGCUCUUUCGUCCCUCUUGACCCCUCUCUUCGCAGACCCCUCCCCAAUAAAUGAAUGAAUGAAUGAAUGAAUGAAUAAUCCUCUCCUCUACCAUCAAAAACAUCUUCCAACCAGCAACAGUUGCAUUCAAACUAACCUUAACCAUCACAGGCUCCUCCUCCCUAUCUACAUAUGGAAUCCCCACUGCCCAAUCAGGUGCGUCUAAUCGCGAACUCUCACGAGAGCUGCCACACAUGGGAUUAGCCACCGGUACACCUUAGAGAAUUAUAUAGAUAGAUAGAUAUUUUGUUUCUUCAUAUGUACUGAACAUUUAUCCUUAUCCUGCACUCACAAGUCUACAUCACUAAGAGGAUAUAUUCACUAAGGGCAGGGUAACAAACCUUAUCAUAUGAUGGCAGCAUAAGAUAAAGUCCAAACAAAAAAGGGGAAAGAACUCCAAUUUUUACCAUGAAAGUGGUAAUUCAACCAGUGAAAAAUAAAACAAAAACAAAAACACAUCCUUGAAUUUGGAAUGAGCACAGGCAGAGACCUGAGAGAAGCCCAAAACCCAGACAAGAAGACAUGCUCUCUCUCCUGCUGUUGCUCCCCUGCAACUGGUAUUCAGAGACAUCUAUUCACAAGUUGCUCCAUUAAUGGAUAUGCAGCCCAGCAGGCCAUUUCAAGUAAGAACUCACAAAUAGUUUCUAGCACGCUUGGCAUCAGCAUACAGGACACUUAGACAAAUUCUGAGACACCAGUGCCCUAACAGGACCCACUGCCACUGCCACCUGCACUGCCCCUCCUUUAAAAAAUGUCCCCUUCUAAGCAUUCCUCUCAGUGCUGGCAGCUAGACCCAUCAUUUAAAUUCAGGGUUGCACAACUUCAGUCUUCCAGCUGUUUUUGGAUAACAACUCCUAUCAUCCCCAGCAACCAACUGCUAGGGAUGAUGGGAGCUGUAGUCCAACAUCUGCAGGAGGGACAAAGUUGUGCAGCCCUGUUUUAAUUCCUCCAUAAUGUCCCUGACAUAGUUGCUCAAGAGCGAUGAUACGUUGGGGUAUUUUGAGGGCAUUAAAAUGGCAGUUCCAGCCAUGCUGUCACCGAGAAGUGUGCUACUACUGCUGCCUGCCGCUGCUUAGUAACCCCUCUAUGAGUGGGUCCUUGAGGGCUUACCAACUGGUGGUAAGCUGCAGGCAGCAGCAGUGAUUCUUCCUAGGGCUCUUACCAGGUGGUGAGAGCAGCAGUACUUCCCUCAGCACAGGUACAGCAGAGCCACCAUACUCCCAACAUAACUUUGCUCUGCAGUGACAUUACAGUGGGGGCUGCAGCCACACCCCUGCUAGAGAGUGUUUUGCUGUUGCUGUUGGCCAAUGUUGCCGUAAGGCCACCAGGGCUCCAUGAUGCUUGGAGGAGUGUCAGCAUGGCUGGAGGGGCCAUUUUAAUUCCCAAACCAUAUCUUUAACAAAGUGGAGCUGUGUGGGAGCAUUGGGGGUGUAUGUGUCUCUGGCCAUGUCGGCACUAAGAAGAACGCAACUGUUGUGCCGCUGCUGUCCAGUAAGCCUGUUAGGCCCAGAGAUGUAGGAGGGAGCCAACCAGAGGGCAUUUCCCAGAGGGCAUUUCCCCCCUCAAACCUGGAGCAGGUCCCAGCUUCUAGUCUAGUCAAUUUCAUUUCUAGAUUGGGGUGGGGGAUAACUGAAAUUAUUCACUGAAAUUAAGAUUGUUGCUGGCAAGGAAGACUUGCAGACCACCCUGUCAAACAGCAGGUUGGAGGCUUCCUCUCCAGAGGAUCUACUCAUGAGAAAGCCCUUCAGCCUGUUUGCCUGACCUGGCAAGCUAGGAAUCGACUUACAAGGAAUUCACAUGCUGCUUGUGCAUGGCUGACUGCAAAAUAGAAAAAGCAGCACAGAAGCAUAUGAGAGAAGGAAAGGGGAGUUCUUGCCCCAGAAUCCAUUUUGGAAGGGAGUUCUGGCACAGAUACAACCCACUGGGAAAUCUCAUAGGGAAAGUAAUUAAUUUGGAUGAGCUAGGGGUUGCCUAUCUUGGUAGGUGCUUGAUAGGAUUAAGAAAGACAAAGGAGUGAGCAAAAAGGGACAGAAGCUGAUCCCUGUCUAAGCUGGUUUAAUGCCAGUAGACAUGCCAGAUGUUUCAUGUGUAGGCAAUAAAUGUCUAUGGGCUAGAGACAACAGCCAAAGCUGGAAUCGACAAGCUCCAAGCUAAAUGCCUACUAGGAUGGUGUGCCAAACACAGCAACUUCAGAUAUUGUGACUCUGAAACAGUGUGUGAGGUGGCAUUCCAAUGUGAGAAAAGUGGUCUACUGCACCCUACCCUAACACUUUGGGGGAUGAUUGUAUAUUGUAUUUCCUUGCCCCAGAUCACUGAGAUAUAGGCAAUAGGAUAAGGAGAUGAGGCAGGAGCAAGGUGGGUGGGAUGGUGGUUUCUAAAGUAUAUCUGGACUGCAAGCUUUUAUCAGUGUUCCAUUAUUUUAACUAUCACGGCUUUUCUCAAAUAAGCUUGGGAAUUAUAAUUUAGUGAGGGUGCUGAGUGUUAGAGAUCCCUAAAAUACAGUUCCAUGGGUAGAGCAAAUGACUGUUAAACUAGCAUAUCUCUGUAGACUGUAGUAUAGACAGACAUGUCUUAAGAAUCCACUGUGACUGACCUAUAGUUUCUCUUUUCCCCUCACUCUACAAAUAUCCAAAUAAAUCAACAUUCUUAAGAUCAGUCCAUUAUCUCUGUGCAGUCUCCACAUACUGGUGAAACCUGUUCAAGUCAAGAUUUACUCUGAUCGACUAAAAGUAAGCCUGUAAUAAUACCUCAAGCAAAAUAAUCCCAACAAUGUGGGAGGAUUGAAAUCUGGAGAUUGAGAUGCACAUCUCAACCCUCCAUUUCUUAAUGAGAAACUUCUGGCACAUUUUGGACCCCAACCCACCUCUGUGGCUGAACUGCCCAGGCACAUCUCCCUCUGUACAGAAGCAGUCACAGUGCUGCCGUCGCUAUUGUUGCUCCUGCCAGCAGCAUGCUUUUAUGAGCAAAUAUAAAGCAGACAUUUAUGGGCUACUGAGAGGGAGGAUUUAUUGAGCAGAGGCUUUUAAGUCACCAGUUCUAAGGCUUCACCUACUUCCUCCUCUUGGCACAGAGCUGAACAUAUAUGUAAUUUGCAUCUAUAGCAGUUCCUCCCACCUGUCUCCCGGGCCCUGUUAGCUACCCAGGCUCCUUUAUUCUGAGAAGGAGAAAGCAGGCCUUGAAGGCAGUAGAAAGAUCAGCCCUCCCCACUCAGGUCCGCCACAGCAGAUUUUUCAGCAGCAUUGUCGCAUCUUCUUUCUGACCCCCUUGGCGCAUCCAGGAUGAGAAAUGCCAACUCAGCUGUAUCAGGUUUCCCCCUCUCCAUCUACCCCAGGGUUAGUGCUUUUUUCCAAAUGAGCUUCACAUAGUAGAUUAUUACACAACUCAGGUAAAAGGCUCCCAUUUGGGGAUAUAUUUUGGAGCGCAUGGGGCUUGCUACAGGGGUGGGGGGGGAAGCAAUUGUAGGUGGGAGAGGCAAUUCAGCAAAUAGAAAAAGAGGGGGGAAACCUCAUUUCUAUUUGCAGUGGCUAGAGCCAUGCCAACCACAGCCAUGCUAUGCACAGUGUGCAAGCCACUGACUGCUGACCAAUAGCUAACUGGAAGGAGAGAAGCUGAGAAGGGAGGGAGGGGGCCUGGACUCACCUCUUUCACUCUCUGAAGCAUAGGCUGCAGCCAUUCGCUGUUUACUUCACAAUGGCUGUCCAGGAAGGUGAGAAUCUCGGCUGUCGCUGUUUCAGCCCCUCGUACUCGAGAGCGAAUUAGCCCUGAAAGACAGGAGGGAAGCAAAGACAUAGGAGAAGAAAAAGCGUAGGGACGUAUGUUUGCUCUGAAGUAAGUCCAACUCAAGUAAGUUUAAGUAAGUCUUCAGUGGCACUUACUCCCAUGUAAGUGUGCAGAGGAUGCACACUUAAUACCAUGUAAGUCUGCCAGGGAGGUGGUUGGAUCGUUGGAUAAUGAGGGAGUGAAAGGGAUUAUUAAGGAGGAUAUGGAGGUUACAGAGAAGCUAAAUGAGUUCUUUGCAUCUGUCUUCACAGCACAGGAUACUGAGCAUAUACCUGUUCCUGAACCAGGCUUUUCGGGGAUGGAGACUAAAGAACGGAGUCAGAUAGAAGUGACAAGAGAUGAUGUAACUGUCUGGAAAAACUGAAAACUAGCAAAUUGCCAAGGCUGGAUGGCAUCCAUCCAAGAGUCCUCAAAGAACUCAAAUGUGAAAUUGCCAGCCUCCUUGCUAAAAUAUAUAACUUAUCCCUGCAAUCAGGCUCUGUACCAGAGGACCGGAAAGUAGCCAAUGUAACACCGAUUUCCAAAAAGGGAUCCAGGUGUGAUCCGGGAAAUUACAGGCCGGUUAGCUUAACGUUCCAAGCAAAUUGACGGAAAGCAUCCUCAAGGAUAAAAUUGUAAAGCACAUAGAACAACCAGCAUGGCUUCUGCAAAGCUUGGUGUCCUGGCGAGAAACACAAAGGCUACAAGCCAAAGUACUUUUCUUGGCACCUCCAUCCUGGAAUUUUUCCAUUUUCACAGCUCCUCACUGCCUGAAAUAUUGCUUGUGUGGGCAUUUUGUCAGAGGCUCUAUCACUGAGUUGGAAUGACAGUUACCCUUGAUUAACGGCUACUGAGAAAUUGCUGGACAUCUGCUAGAUUACUACAGACCAGGCUAAAUAGACUUAAUGGCUCUUUUAAAGGCGGGUAAAGAUGUUGAAUUAUGAACAGCUAUAGGGAGUGCAUUCCACAGAGAAGACCCGCUCGUAAGUUGCAGCCAGAUGAGAUGGUGGCAUCCGGAGACAGACCACGCUUGAUGACCUCAAUAUGCGGUGGGGAUCAUGCAGAAGAAGGCGCUCUCCCAGGGGAAGGAAGGGAGAUCUGUGAGUGCUGCUGUUCGCACGGGGACCUAUCUAGUUAUCCACGACCAGAGUGUGUUGUCCGUGUCAACUGAUGUAACUGCAACCUGUGAAUAAAGGGACUUCAGGAUGCAUCUGGCCAACAUGUGAAUGCAGCACCUCCAUUCCAGAGGAGAUGUGUGUUAAAGGGCUUUAAAAGCCUCGUGUGAAAAAACUCCCAGAAUCAAACUUUACUGAAUUUGUUCAGAAUUCUGAAAAAACAAACAUAGGCUCACCCUGCAUUGUUGAAAGUCUCCUUUGCUAAUCUGCAGUGAGAGGGCCAUUUUAAUAAUUAGCAUUGCUACACUGUAUU